rnacentral:lncRNA from 1 species
CAGUCUAUUGCCGAGUGCUUGCUAGUCGGGUGCCAUGGGCACUGCUUUUUGAGUAGUUUGGUGAAGGUUGGCCCUUCAUCAUUUUUGCGAGAUCCCUUUUUCCCGGAGUUGGUCAUGGCAAAUACAGUGUUGUCGGGCUUCCUUUUGUGGUUUUGAUUGCUCGAAUAGUUGUUUCGAGUAUCAUUGUGUCGAGUUCUAUCUUGAUCAUUAUUGUUGUUGUUGUCGCGUCCACGGUUACGGUGGGAGCCGAACCAUUCUCGCUCUUUGUCUUCU